ACUUUAAAAAAGAAAAGAAAAGAAAAGAAAAUCCAAACCAAAGGAUACCACAGCUGUUCGAUGGGGGAGAAAAGACAGUUCAGCGUCUUCUCAGAUAACAGUACCUAUCUUUCCAGCAGUCUGAAACUCUAGUAAUGGAAUGUACCUCAUUUUAAUUUCAAAUGAAAAUAAAUUGUGAAUCUCAGAUUGGUGUUUCUUAAACAAGUGUAGUUUUAGAAUUCUUUGUAAAGUGUUUCCUUUCUGGGAAGAUCUCAGGAGAACCAAUAGAAGGAGUAGCAAUAGGGGAGGGUUUCUGUUUUGCUCAAUUUUCUGCAAAAACUCUUCUAAAAUCAGAAACGAAAAGACCCCAGUACUCUCCUUAACAGACACCAAAGACAAGGACCACAAGAAUCGAAAGACACCACCACCUUCCUACCCCUGCCAUCAUCCCCAGAGCUCUCUGUUUUCUCCCCAGAACCUAGCCUACGGAUACAAUUGUUUAGGGGCACAGUCCACUUUGGGAGGAGGGGUGAGGAGAAAUAAGGCCUGUUCAGCUGUUCAGCGGAAGGCUUCAGACUCCCCACUUCUGCAACGUGGGAGGGCAGAGAUCCUACAACUGGGAAGAGAUUUGCUCUCCAGCACAGCAAAAGGGUCUGCCUGUGACCCUCACCGAACUCACUCUUCACUGCUUUAUAGAGACCAUCAGACUCAGGACAAAUAUUCUAGUUUGGAUGCGCAAUUAAUAAUAAGAAGAUACAGGACAGAGGCGGACUGAAUGGCUCCAAUUCUCAGAAUGUGAAAGCGUAAAUCAGAACCUACUAUUUUGUAAAACCAACUUGGAAAACAAAAUUGUCAGAAGCAAAACAACAACAACAACAACAAUAAAAACCAAACCAACAACAAAACCAAGCAAGUCAGGCUGUUUUACCAAUAAAGGGGGCACUGAAUGGAAUCAGAGAUCUGAUAAGUGCCGGGAAGUUGGACUAAGAGGGACAGGAGACUUCGAAACUUCUCUGAAUACUGCUUUGCUGCUGACUUCCAAGGAGAUCUCACCAGAGCUGAGCUGAAGCCAGGACCAUAGUGUUAUUGACAUUACCCCCAGAGACAUGAAGAAACAUCUGCUGCCCCUAGAUAUGAAACCAACACAGACCAAACCAACUGUCAGUACUGCAAGUGGUCCACCCACCAAAGAGAUGGAACUCAACGUGGUAGAAUAGAAGCUGAGACAUGUGGACUUGACAGACUUGAGACUCGGCUAUUCAUCCCAGCUCUGAGAGCCCAUGCAGCUCAUUGAGCCUUCGCGACUCCUGGUUUUACUUUCAGCAAAAUGGAGAUAUUAAGCUCUGGGAUCAGUACACGUCAACCUGAACCCGGAAGAGUUCCAAGUAUCUUUCCCCUUCUCUGUCAGGUUCGUGUUACCCUGAACCUGUGAGCUCAGAAGGAAUUUUCUGGUUUUCGGGAGACGGCAGCCAUUCAUCAUAGCUCUCCACCACUGACUGACUGAGAGUCAAUUAUCAUCAAACAUCCAUCUGCCCAUGAUGCUAAUUAUUCCUACUCCAUGAUUGAGGAUUUGGAGUCGGAGACUCACCUGCAAUAUUUGGAAUACCAGUGGAGAUCCAUAUCAACAUGGAAUUUAUACAGCAGCUGGUGCCAGUCACAGCUAAUGAUGAAACUUCAGCUUAAUAAAAAGACCCCCAACUGAGUACAACCAUCUCGAAGAAAGUGUACUUAUCAAACAGCUUUCAAUCAGUUCAAGAGAGACACCUUAAUUGUGAAGAGCAAGAACCGCACAGCAGUUGUCACCAUGCCAACUUCAGAUCAAUGGCACUUCCACUGCUCUUGGUACAUAUAGCCUUGCCUAUGUCCUUAACUGCACCAACAUCCUUCCUGUUGGGAUGAGAUCUUGUCAGCUGCUAGCGUGUGAUGAUGCCUUCGUUCAUUACAUUACUAUACCCCUUAGCAAAAUUUAAACGUGUAAUGAUAAAGGUCACUACCUUUUCCUUUAAUUAAGACCUCUAUUUCUUGUUACCAGAAACAAGUGCCUAUGACAUUUUGUAUUUUCAGAAAUUAUCCUGUUGAAAUAAAGCUACACAAACAAAAUAAAA
rnacentral:sRNA from 1 species